rnacentral:rRNA from 1 species
CCAGACUCCUACGGGAGGCAGCAGUGAGGAAUAUUGGUCAAUGGCCGAGAGGCUGAACCAGCCAAGUCGCGUGAGGGAAGACGGCCCUACGGGUUGUAAACCUCUUUUGUCGGGGAGCAAAACGAACCACGUGUGGUUCAUUGAGAGUACCCGAAGAAAAAGCAUCGGCUAACUCCGUGCCAGCAGCCGCGGUAAUACGGAGGAUGCGAGCGUUAUCCGGAUUUAUUGGGUUUAAAGGGUGCGUAGGCGGUCCGUUAAUCCGGCGGAAAAUUGGCGGGGCUCACCCCCGUCGGGCCGUUGAAACUGGCAGACUUGAGUUGGCGAGAAGUACGCGGAAUGCGCGGUGUAGCGGUGAAAUGCAUAGAUAUCGCGCAGAACUCCGAUUGCGAAGGCAGCGUACCGGCGCCAGACUGACGCUGAGGCACGAAAGCGUGGGGAUCGAACAGGAUUAGAUACCCGCGUAA